UUAAACAAAAAGAACCUUUUAUUAAAUAUUUAAUUAAAUUAAAUUAAAAUAAAUUAAUUUUUAAUUUUAAAACUGUAAAGGAAUUUCUUUUUAAGGAAAAAGUAAUUUUUUGUACCUUUAGCAUUAGGGAUUUUCAAAAAAUAAUAUAAAUUUAUUUAUUUCGAAACUAACUGAUCUAUUAUCUAUAUGUAAUUUAUAUUUCAAAAUAAAUUUUGAGUAUUUAAUAGAAGUGAAAUUCUUAUCAAAGUUAGUGAUAUCUAAUUUUUAUAUCAAAAAUAAAGUUUUUCUUAUAAUAAUUUAUAUUUAUUAAUAUUAUAAGUAAUUAUAUAAGGGAUAAGCUUUAUAUAAAAUUAUAUUUAAUUAUGUUUAUAAUUAAAAAGAAUUAAUAUUUUUCUUUUAUUGUUAUAAGUAAUUUAUAUUUUUAUAUAAAAAUAUAAUUAAUUUUUGUUUUUAAAAAUUUUAUUAAAAAAUAAAAAUGAGAAUAUUAGUAUAAUUUUAUAUAUAAAAAUCAUAUAUUUAUAUAUUACUAUAUUUUUAUAAUAAAUUCUAGAAAUUAGGCAAAUAUUUUUUUUGACUGUUUAAUAAAAACAAUGUAUUUAGAAACUUAAUUAAAUAUAAAUCCUGCUCAAUGAAUAAUUAAAUUGCUGUAGUAUUUUGACUAUACAAAGGUAUUGUAAUAAGAUUUUAAUUGAAUGCUAAAAGAAUGGACUUUCAAAAAAAUUCUAUCUUGAAUUUAAAAAUAGAAUUUAUUUUUAUUUGUGAAGAAACAAUAAUUUAAAUUAAGGACAAGAAGACCCUAAGAAUUUUUUAAAAUUGUGUAGUAAUUACAAUUAUACAUAAUUUUUUAAUUGGGGCGAUUAAUAAAUAUAAUUAACUUUAAGUUAAAAAAGAUGAUCCAUUAUUAAUGAUUAAAUGUAAAAAAUACUCUAGGGAUAACAGCGUAAUAAUUUUAGAUAGUUCUUAUAGAAAAAAUAGUUUGCGACCUCGAUGUUGGAUUAGGAUACUUUUUUAAUGAAGAAGUUAAGAAAAGAAGUUUGUUCAACUUUUAAAAUCCUACAUGAUCUGAGUUUAGACCGAUGUGAAUCAGGUUGGUUUCUAUCCUAAUAGAAAAAAAAUUUUUUUAAUUAGUACGAAAGGAAUUUUAAAAGUAAAAAAAUUUUAUUUAAAGUAUAACAGUUUUUGCAUCAAUUUUUGGAAUU
rnacentral:rRNA from 1 species